AUACCGGAUAGGAGCGUCCACCGCAUGGUGGGUGUUGGAAAGAUUUAUCGGUUUUGGAUGGACUCGCGGCCUAUCAGCUUGUUGGUGAGGUAAUGGCUCACCAAGGCGACGACGGGUAGCCGGCCUGAGAGGGUGACCGGCCACACUGGGACUGAGACACGGCCCACACUCCUACGGGAGGCAGCAGUGGGGAAUAUUGCACAGUGGGCGAAAGCCUGAUGCAGCGACCCCGCGUGAGGGAUGACGGCCUUCGGGUUGUAAACCUCUUUCAGUAGGGAAGAAGCGAAAGUGACGGUACCUGCAAAAGAAGCACCGGCUAACUACGUGCCAGCAGCCGCGGUAAUACGUAGGGUGCGAGCGUUAUCCGGAAUUAUUGGGCGUAAAGAGCUCGUAGGCGGUUUGUCGCGUCUGUCGUGAAAGUCCGGGGCUUAACCCCGGAUCUGCGGUGGGUACGGGCAGACUAGAGUGCAGUAGGAGAGACUGGAAUUCCUGGUGUAGCGGUGGAAUGCGCAUAUAUCAAGAAGAACACCGAUGGCGAAGGCAGGUCUCUGGGCUGUAUCUGACGCUGAAGAGCGAAAGCGUGGGAGAGCGAACAAGAUUAGAUACCCCUGAUUAGUCCAUGCCCGUACACGUUGGGCACUAGGUGUGGGGACCAUUUCCACGGUUUUCCGCGCCGCAGCUAACGCAAUUAAGUGCCCCCGCCUGGGAGAGUUACGGCCGCAAGGCUAACAUCAUCAAAGGUAUUGACGGGGCCUCGCCACAAGCGGGCGAGCAU
rnacentral:rRNA from 1 species